rnacentral:piRNA from 1 species
AAUGAUAGACAAACCAACAGGAGG